GUCCAGACUCCUACGGGAGGCAGCAGUGGGGGAUAUUGCACAAUGGGGGAAACCCUGAUGCAGCGACGCCGCGUGGGCGAAGAAGUAUUUCGGUAUGUAAAGCCCUAUCAGCAGGGAAGAAGAAAUGACGGUACCUGAGUAAGAAGCACCGGCUAAAUACGUGCCAGCAGCCGCGGUAAUACGUAUGGUGCAAGCGUUAUCCGGAUUUACUGGGUGUAAAGGGAGCGCAGGCGGCACGGCAAGCCUGAUGUGAAAGGCCGCGGCCCAACCGCGGGACUGCAUUGGAAACUAGCUGGCUUGAGUGCCGGAGAGGUAGGCGGAAUUCCUAGUGUAGCGGUGAAAUGCGUAGAUAUUAGGCGGAACUCCAGUGGCGAAGGCGGCCUACUGGACGGUGACUGACGCUGAGGCUCGAAAGCGUGGGGAGCGAACAGGAUUAGAUACCCUUGUAC
rnacentral:rRNA from 1 species